rnacentral:tRNA from 1 species
GAAAGUGUGGCAGAGUGGUUAUUGCGGCAGACUGUAAAUCUGUGGUUAAAUACCUUAUCAGUUCAAAUCUGAUCACUUUCA